rnacentral:rRNA from 1 species
CAGUCGCCGCGGUAAUACGGAGGGUGCAAGCGUUAAUCGGAAUUACUGGGCGUAAAGCGCACGCAGGCGGUCUGUCAAGUCAGAUGUGAAAUCCCCGGGCUUAACCUGGGAACUGCAUUUGAAACUGGCAGGCUAGAGUCUUGUAGAGGGGGGUAGAAUUCCAGGUGUAGCGGUGAAAUGCGUAGAGAUCUGGAGGAAUACCGGUGGCGAAGGCGGCCCCCUGGACAAAGACUGACGCUCAGGUGCGAAAGCGUGGGGAGCAAACAGGAUUAGAUACCCGAGUAGUCCCUGUCUCUUAUAU